rnacentral:tRNA from 1 species
UGAUAUCCUAAGUUUAGGGAUUACGUUUCGGCCGUAGUUUGGGGAGAAGUUCUCCCUAUCAA